CAGUGCUGGCGGAAAGGGGGUCCAAGCCUCUCCUGGAUUGCCAGUCUUUCCGUAGGUUGCGACACUACACCAGGCAAGAGAAGAGGAAGGAAAUUAACCCCAAUUGGUGAAGGUCGAUUUGAGGGUCUGCUGUAGCAGGUGGCACCACUUGAAGAGAGGGAGGAAGUUUCCUUGGAUCAGUAGAGAUCGCAAGGGUUGUUGGGCGUGGCACACCUCCAGGGAAGGGAAGAAGGGACAAACUGUCUGUCUGGAGGAGGUCCACCUCCAGUAUCAGCUAUUGUGUCCUUGAAGUGGCUGAAGACGAUCACCUUCCACAGCCUUGCACCCAGGCCCAUAGUGCUCCUCUCCCAGCCUGAGUGAAUACUCUGUUCCUUGGUCCCUG
rnacentral:lncRNA from 1 species